GAUGAACGCUGGCGGCGUGCCUAAUACAUGCAAGUCGAACGAGGUGCUUUUGUAGCAAUACGAGAGUAUCCUAGUGGCGAACGGGUGAGUAACGCGUUGGUGACCUACCCCAAAGUGUGGGAUAACAGUCCGAAAGGAUUGCUAAUACCGCAUGUGGUCCUCAGGUUUAGAAACUGAUGACUAAAGGAGCAAUUCGCUUUGGGAGGGACCUGCGUCCCAUCAGCUAGUUGGUGAGGUAAUGGCUCACCAAGGCGACGACGGGUAGGGGACCUGAGAGGGUGACCCCCCACAAUGGAACUGAAACACGGUCCAUACACCUACGGGUGGCAGCAGUAGGGAAUAUUGCACAAUGGGCGAAAGCCUGAUGCAGCAACGCCGCGUGCACGAUGAAGGCCUUCGGGUCGUAAAGUGCUUUUCUGGGAGAUGAGAAAGGACAGUAUCCCAGGAAUAAGUCUCGGCUAACUACGUGC
rnacentral:rRNA from 1 species